UUGGUUUCUAAUUCAUUGGUAACUAAGCAGUCUGUUGAGGCUUUAAAUGAUCAGCCAGACCCAAAUCUCAUCUUUCAGCAGUCUGAUGUGUUCAUGUGAAGGAACUCUCUGGAGUUAUGUCAGGAGACUUUCUUGCAUCUCAAAUCCGAGUGUGAAUAGGGAAGCAGUGACUGGAGAGGACUGAGAGCAUUCAGUGUGGCCUGCUGUGUCUCAGGAACAUCCCACAUUUCCUUGAUGUUUAAUUUAAAUAGCCCUUUCUUCUUAUACGGAUCUGGUUCCACAUGUUCCCGUGUUAAAGUCAACAAAAGGUUCUAAAUAAAUCCCUGGUGCAACUGUGAGAGCUUCACUGAACCUGGUGAAAACUGUGCUGAGCUACAGAGUGGUGACUUCAUUGGAAACUGCAGCAGGAGGAGGAAGCUUGGAUGGAAAAAGGUCUGGUUUUGACUUCUUCUCUUCGGGCUGAGUAUCCAGAGAUCCCAAGAACACUUAAUCCAUGUUAAUUUCUCAUGUGAGCUAUUUCAAGUGAAGGAAUCUAAACUUUGGAAAUGAAGUUUCAUAAUAUGUUGUGACUCUUCCUCUUUGUUGUUUUCCAAGUGUUUAGAGAGUGUGCUUACUGGGCUUUGCUCAGUGGAGCACACACAGCACUGGCUACAAUAGGUGUAAGGUGGCUCUCACCACCUUAGACAGAAAGCAGGUAUGUGUUUGUACACACAUUGUACAUGACAUUGCUGGGGCUAAGCAUAGAAACACGUGCUUGUUUUGUUUAGACAUGCUUUUUAUCCACAGGAUUUGUGGAAUUCUUUCCAGGUGUUGCUCCUCCCUGAGCUUACAGUUGUUGAAUUUCAAAUAUUGGCAAUCGAUGACAGAGCCUUCAAUUUCUUUUCAAGGGAACUUGCCUGUUGGAUUUGGCAGAGCAAUGGAGACAGCCUGAUGGCAGUGACUUCUGUUCUUGUCCCUGCAGAGGGGAAUGAGGACAUGGAUAAUCCUCUUUAAAAAGGACUGGAGCUCUCUCUGGAUUCCUCACACAGAAUCUCACUAUGAGUUUUCAUGCUGCAUCUGUAUUUCUCUGUAGCAAAAUAAAAAAAAUAAAAAAUAAUAUUAGUUGAAGUCUGCAUAACUGAAGUCGCUUAAAAAAAUAAACUCCCACAAAGUCACUGGUUGGGACUCAGGAACACGAGCAGGGAUUGAUCAAAGGCUUGGGAUCUUGUGUCCCAGGGUCCUCCUGUCUCUCCCUGCUGCAGAAACAUCAGAAACAGCAGGUUAAAUAUCUGUUAUUCUGCUGUAAUUCUAGCAGCUUGUAGGGCCUUCUGAAUACCCAUGCCUUCCUCUUGGGGGAAAUACAAUGGCCUUUGUUGUGUCUCUUUAUGAAAUACUCCAGCUUAUUCCAAUACAAUUUUUAUGAAAUAAAACUAGACUGCAGCCCAGUUUAAUACAUCCAUGUCAGCUCCUGCCUGCAGGAGCCCAAAUACAUGUUUUGCAUAUAGUUCACAUGCACAUAAAAUCACACAUGCACCUUGUAUGGAGACUUUGUGGAUAUCCAUAAUGUGCAUGUGUUUGCCUGUAUAAAAUACUUGAAAAAAUAAAUGAGAAUAUGGUUUUGUAUAUACUUAUUCUGUAAUACUGGUAGGUUCUAAGAAGGAUAAACCAAAU